rnacentral:rRNA from 1 species
CCUGACUGCUAUCGGAUUGAUACUAAGCCAUGCGAGUCAUUGCAGUAAUGCAAGGCAGACGGCUCAGUAACGCGUAGUCAACCUACCCUAUGGACGGGAAUAACCUCGGGAAACUGAGUAUAAUGCCCGAUAGAACACUAUACCUGGAAUGGUUUGUGUUCCAAAUGAAUGUCGCCGUAGGAUGGGACUGCGGCCUAUCAGUUUGUUGGUGAGGUAAUGGCCCACCAAGACUAUUACAGGUACGGGCUCUGAGAGGAGUAGCCCGGAGAUGGGUACUGAGACACGGACCCAGGCCCUAUGGGGCGCAGCAGGCGAGAAAACUUUGCAAUGUGCGAAAGCACGACAAGGUUAAUCCGAGUGGUUUGUGCUAAACGAACCUUUUGACAGUCCUAGAAACACUGUUGAAUAAGGGGUGGGCAAGUUCUGGUGUCAGCCGCCGCGGUAAAACCAGCACCUCAAGUGGUCAGGAUGAUUAUUGGGCCUAAAGCAUCCGUAGCCGGCUCUGUAAGUUUUCGGUUAAAUCUGUACGCUCAACGUACAGGCUGCCGGGAAUACUGCAGAGCUAGGGAGUGGGAGAGGUAGACGGUACUCGGUAGGAAGGGGUAAAAUCCUUUGAUCUAUUGAUGACCACCUGUGGCGAAGGCGGUCUACCAGAACACGUCCGACGGUGAGGGAUGAAAGCUGGGGGGGCAAACCGGAUUAGAUACCCGGGUAGUCCCAGCUGUAACUAUGCAAACUCAGUGAUGCAUUGGCU